rnacentral:tRNA from 1 species
ACUUUUAAAGGAUAGAAGUAAUCCUCUGGCUUUAGGCGCCACGAACCUUGGUGCAAAUCCAAGUAAAAGUCC